rnacentral:misc_RNA from 1 species
ACGGUGUUAGGUUGGCGUGGAAGUACUUCCCNUUGUCUUUGGAUGNUACGCCCUUUGGCGUUGCAAUCCUUGGCCAUGGGUUGCUACUAGUUCCCUCGGAUGCAGAACCUUUGAAGGGUGCACAGCAUAUUUUUGUUGUUACCCCCAAAGCGUUCAUGGCUCGAUGUGUACGACGGCCGUGCCCGCCUCUGUCCCGUCUUUAACCCAUUGGANGGGGCCUAUGCGGUGCCGGCGUCACGAAGGAAUGC